rnacentral:rRNA from 1 species
GGGAGUGAAAUAGAACCUGAAACCCUGCACUUACAAGCUGUGGAAGCACAUUUCUUGUGUGACCGCGUACUUUUUGUAGAACGGGCCAACGAGUUACGUUAAGUAGCAAGGUUAAGCACUUAAGGUGUGGAGCCGUAGCGAAAGCGAGUUUUAACUGAGCGUUCAGUUACUUGACGUAGACCCGAAACCGGGCGACCUACCCAUGAGCAGGAUGAAGCGAAAGUAAAAUUUCGUGGAGGUCCGAACCCACGAGCG